GCCAUCAUCUGAGGACUGUAUUUGUACUGGAAGCAGUUGUUCAGCAUCGCUGAGCAAACUUCUCUGCCCGCUCAGUUAACAUCCAAGGAAAAUGGCGCCACGUGAGCAACGGGGUUGAUAGAUGUGGGACCGUAGCUCCACACCCAGUUUGAGGAUAUAACGAAGAGCUGCCUGGUUCUCUCGUCACUCUACUCAUCCUGGUCUGGAAAGUAACCAAAGACAAAGGCAACAAGAACAGAGGGCCAGAUCCAAGAAAGGAGGAAACUCUGCUGGCAUGAAGAUGGACAGUGCCUGCUGAGGACUCCAUUGAGGAGAAGACCUGGAGGCUCAGGAGGCAGGGCCGUCCGGGAGCCUUCUCAGAGCCGGAGCCUGGGGAAGAAGGACUGCUCUGGUGCCACAGGUCCCCCAGUGCUGGAGCUCCCCUGCCUCCCUCCCUCCCCACCACCACGUCCGCUGUAAUUCUCACUCAUCUGGCCUUUCUCUGGCUGGUCCAGGCAGCCGGGUUUGAAUGUCUUCUCUCUGUGGGUCUUCUCGACUGACAUUAUAAAUGGCUCUUGAUUUCGGCAUUAACAGAGUAAAGAAACAAACACAGGGAGGAUUAAAAAAUUGAUUACAAACCCCAAAUUUUCCUUUCUGAAUUGGGCAUGUGUUGACUCUGGGAUAUUGAAAUUAUUGGGAGCUCACAGCAUCUCUGAUAUAUAAUGAUGCUAUACCAGAAGCUCAGUUCCAGAAGAUCCUUGAAAUAGAACAGCUCACCUGCCCCCAAAUACUAGGUAAAAUGCUCCCUCCUCUUCACCUAAUUCUGCUAAUAAAAAAGUAUUGCCUCUCAAAAAA